UACAGAGGGUGCAAGCGUUGUUCGGAAUUACUGGGCGUAAAGCGCGUGUAGGUGGCGAUGUAAGUCGGGCGUGAAAUCCCUCAGCUUAACUGAGGAAGUGCACUCGAUACUGUGUCGCUUGAGUGUUGGAGGGGAUGGCGGAAUUCCCGGUGUAGAGGUGAAAUUCGUAGAUAUCGGGAGGAACACCUGUGGCGAAGGCGGCCAUCUGGACAACUACUGACACUGAGACGCGAAAGCGUGGGUAGCAAACAGG
rnacentral:rRNA from 1 species